UCCGGAACACAGUGUUUAUUCUGUGUUUAGUCACGCCGCGUCAAAAAUGUUCCACAGGGUUACUUCCGGUUUAUCGUUGUUUACCAACAGUCGACACUUCGUGUAUUAGGCCUAGGCUUAAUUUUGUCAAUCAUCAUGAAAUUGAAAUACAAAUUUAAUAGUUUGGGGUGUAUGCGGUACAUAUUUGUUUAUGAGCGUUUGAUAAGCUACUAUUGAUCUACGAAAUACAACGAAAGACUUCGUCAAGAACAGAAGAAGACGAUGCAUGUCGUGUAACUCACACAAGGCCCAGCUGUCUAGUAACCGGAGGGGUAAAGGAAAAGAACGUAUUAGACUCACUGAAACCUGUCAAACAGGUAUAUGGGAACAGGAUCAUUUUCCAUGCCUUUCACUUGAGGUCUUCAGUUUCAUCAUUAAUCAUCUGAAUGUCGGUAUGCCAAACUCUCAUGAUGUCAUGCCAUUACUGGAUAUUCCUUAACAGUGGUUUAUUUAAGCCACACUACCUAUAACAUUGCCAAAAUAUUAGACUGAAAAUUUUCAAAUACACAAGAUUUGAAGCAGCAAAAGAAAAGAAUUACAUAUGUAUAACACACAAAAAAGAAGAAAUUAAUUCUCACCUGGCUGAUAUGAACUUUUUACUCCUUUUUAGCUCCCUUUCACUGCAUACCAGCCAAUAACUAGCAGUCAUUAUAUGCAGAUCAGCCAUUGUUAUCAACCUGUGUAUAUAUAUGUUGAAUGAAAUAUGAAUGAAAA